AGCAUAUCAAUAGAGCCGAGGAAA
rnacentral:rRNA from 1 species